rnacentral:rRNA from 1 species
AUUGAACGCUGGCGGCAUGCUUUACACAUGCAAGUCGAACGGCAGCGCGGGCUUCGGCCUGGCGGCGAGUGGCGAACGGGUGAGUAAUGCAUCGGAACGUGCCCAGUAGUGGGGGAUAGCCCGGCGAAAGCCGGAUUAAUACCGCAUACGACCUGAGGGUGAAAGCGGGAGACCGAAAGGCCUCGCGCUAUUGGAGCGGCCGAUGUCGGAUUAGCUAGUUGGUGGGGUAAAGGCUUACCAAGGCGACGAUCCGUAGCUGGUCUGAGAGGACGACCAGCCACACUGGGACUGAGACACGGCCCAGACUCCUACGGGAGGCAGCAGUGGGGAAUUUUGGACAAUGGGGGGAACCCUGAUCCAGCCAUGCCGCGUGCGGGAAGAAGGCCUUCGGGUUGUAAACCGCUUUUGUUCGGGAAGAAAUCCUCUGGGCUAAUACCCCGGGGGGAUGACGGUACCGGAAGAAUAAGCACCGGCUAACUACGUG